CCUACGGGAGGCUGCAGUGAGGAAUAUUGGUCAAUGGACGAGAGUCUGAACCAGCCAAGUAGCGUGAAGGAUGACUGCCCUAUGGGUUGUAAACUUCUUGUAUAAAGGAAUAAAACGAGGCACGUGUGCCUUUUUGCAUGUACUUUAUGAAUAAGGAUAGGCUAACUCCGUGCCAGCAGCCGCGGUAAUACGGAGGAUCCGAGCGUUAUCCGGAUUUAUUGGGUUUAAAGGGAGCGUAGAGGGGUUGUUAAGUCCGUUGUGAAAGUUUGCGGCUCAACCGUAAAAUUGCCAUUGAUACUGGCAGUCUUGCGUACAGUUGAGUUAGGCGGACUUCGUGUUGUAGCGGU
rnacentral:rRNA from 1 species